rnacentral:rRNA from 1 species
ACUCAAAGGAAUUGACGGGGGCCCGCACAAGCGGAGGAACAUGUGGUUUAAUUCGAUGAUACGCGAGGAACCUUACCCGGGCUUGAAAUGCAUUUGACCGGCCGCGAAAACGGCCUUCCCUUCGGGGCAGAUGUGUAGGUGCUGCAUGGUUGUCGUCAGCUCGUGCCGUGAGGUGUCGGCUUAAGUGCCAUAACGAGCGCAACCCUCAUCGUUAGUUACCAUCAGGUCAAGCUGGGGACUCUAACGAGACUGCCAUCGUAAGAUGCGAGGAAGGUGGGGAUGACGUCAAAUCAGCACGGCCCUUACGUCCGGGGCGACACACGUGUUACAAUGGGUGGUACAAAGGGCAGCUACAUGGCGACAUGAUGCUAAUCUUCAAAACCACUCUCAGUUCGGAUCGGAGUCUGCAAUUCGACUCCGUGAAGCUGGAUUCGCUAGUAAUCGCGCAUCAGCCACGGCGCGGUGAAUACGUUCCCGGGCCUUGCACACACCGCCCGU